rnacentral:rRNA from 1 species
CCUACGGGNNGGAGCAGUAGGGMMYCKKCCGGCCAAWGGRCGAAAGUCUGAACGGAGCAACGCCGCGUGAGUGAUGAAGGUUUUCGGAUCGUAAAGCUCUGUUGUUAGGGAAGAACAAGUACCGUUCGAAUAGGGCGGUACCUUGACGGUACCUAACCAGAAAGCCACGGCUAACUACGUGCCAGCAGCCGCGGUAAUACGUAGGUGGCAAGCGUUGUCCGGAAUUAUUGGGCGUAAAGGGCUCGCAGGCGGUUUCUUAAGUCUGAUGUGAAAGCCCCCGGCUCAACCGGGGAGGGUCAUUGGAAACUGGGGAACUUGAGUGCAGAAGAGGAGAGUGGAAUUCCACGUGUAGCGGUGAAAUGCGUAGAGAUGUGGAGGAACACCAGUGGCGAAGGCGACUCUCUGGUCUGUAACUGACGCUKAGGAGCRAAGCAGCSUKKGGAGCGAACAGGAUUAGAUACCCCGGGUAGUCA